rnacentral:misc_RNA from 1 species
AACGCAAAUUGCACUCCCUGGUAUUCCGGGGAGUAUGCCUGUUUGAGGGUCGUUAGAAUAAAAAUCGAGGCAUCGCUCUUUUUUUUAAGGGUGAUCGCGUCGGAAUUGAGCCGUCUUUCAAAUGUUAAUUCAUGUCAAAGUGGCUUAAAAUUCAUCCAUCCGGUACGAUUAAAGCGUAUUUAAGAUCAAUUUUGAUUAAGAACGCGCGAUGACGGACCAUCUCAUGUAGUACGUUUGACCUGGCGUCAUCAGGUUCAUUCGUAUACGAUACUCAACUUUUGACCUCAAAUCAGGUAAGAAUACCCGCUGAACUUAA